rnacentral:lncRNA from 1 species
CUGCCCGAACCAUGCUUGCAAGACUUGCGAUGACGUGUAUCUUCUUUUUCUUUUUCCCUGACCCACCGGGUCCUGUAACGUAUACUCUUGUUAAAUGAAAAAGAGAUUUUGGUACCUCGUCUGCAUCUCGCAUUAAGUAGUUGUCUGUCGAAUUUCUUCAUCUUCCUUUCCUUCUCUUCGUCUGUAUAACGUCGUCCCAAGGUCGUCGGCGACCUCUUCAGUUCAUGUGGGGUUGUCGUUUGUCGAGCUACUUUUCGGCUUUUACGCCGUUCGAAGAUAUCCAAUUGUCGUUCCGUCGAC